AAGGGAGUGGUAAAAAAGGAAGUCCACUAAUUCUAUUUAAAUGGAAUCAGGGCUCUAUAAAAAUAGUAUCAGACAGGAAUAACACCCGCAUAAGUCACUGUGGCAUCCAGUUUCUAUUCACAAAGAAAAAGCUCCAGUCCAUCUUUUAAUUCUUUUUUUGAAAAAUUCCUGACAUUACAGAACUAAACUGAAAUGUAUUAAUAAUCCACUCUUACAUUUCCAUGACAAACAAAAAUUCAUGAGCCAAAAAAAAAAAACAAAACAAAACAAAAAAGGGGGAGAAGCUUAUAAAACUAAAUAUGGAUAUCUCAGCGUAACUGCUGAACAGAGAAAAGAAUUAAAACACUUUAAUUAAAAAAUCAUGAGUGGAUGAUAAAGUGUGUAGAAACUGAAAAUUUACAAACUAUUUAAAACCUGGAAUCGCUGACUGUUCAGAAACUACACAGAUGGAUCAUGGGUGGUGGUGAACAGCAGAAAGGGAUUAUGGAUGAAUCUGCUCUGUUCUAGCUGCUCCCCAUGCCACCUGUCUCCGAGGAAAGCCUGUAAAACAGAAACAAGAGUAAAGUCAGUUUACCUGGCUAUAAUCAGUAGUUCAUUACACCAGAGUAUCUCAAGGUUUCCUAGAUUAACUCGUACUGUGAUGUUUAAGGCUGUGUGUGUGUUCUCAGAAGAGCAUAACAAAUAAGUGUUUUAUUCUUUGGAAACUGAAAGCAUUUCUAGAGAACAUUAGACUUCAAGAAGUUGAUCCUAUCAUGUGUUUUACACUAGAACAGCCUACCAAUGUGAAGCAGUUUUGUGUUGGGAGCAUUAACACAUCUGAAGAUAUUAAUAGUGUGUUACAGGGAGGAGCAGAAAUAGGAACUACAGUGAAGAAUUCAGAACAAAUACUAACAGGAAAACAAGUAUCAGGACUUCAGUUCCUUAGCUCACUCUUCAAAAUCCAAAACCUGUGGCCUUCCUGUGCCACAUCUUCCUUAUACACAGGCCUGGCUACGGUGCCUUUCUACUUGUUUCAAAUAGGUCAGUUAAGGUCCUGGAGUACAAUUAAGCUUUGAGAUAAAGUUAUUCACUAUCUUUGGACAGCAGCAAAAUUUCUCCUUCUGAAGAUAACUGGAGGUGUAGUCUCAGUCCUACACCAUAAACUUAACUUGCUUAACUUCUCAAAGAGCUGACUGACAUCCAUUCAUGAUGUUUGGUUAGUACCAUGUGCACUAAAUGUACAAAUACCAUAGGGGAAGGGGUAUGUCCCAGAAACCAGAGAAGUCAUUCUUCAAUUAAAAGCUGUGUUUUCUUUAAAGUCAGAAAUUAUUUGUCCUGUCUAUGUUACUACCCUGACGUACUUAAACAUUAAAUAUACAUGUGAGAUCUCAAACUAUGCAGAGUGAGGCCUCUCAUAGGUAAAAUGCAGCAUGGAGGGGAAUCUUUGUAAAUAUGCCAAGGUAGCAAGAGCACACCUGGAAUACCAGUGCUAGGGAGGUGGAGAGGAGGGCAUAUAGUCUACACAAACCACUGAGCCCCAAGUUCAGUCAUUCAGUGUUAAAACAGAUGCAGUUAGUACUGUAUGGCAUCUGUAGUCCCAGCACAUCAACAACAAACAAAUGGGAGGCAGAGAAUGAAUUCCUAGAAGCUGGAAAGUGAGCUUUUAGCAAUGAUCAAAGCACUAUCUGAAACAGUGGAAGAUAAUGGCCACCACUUGUUCACUAUGGCACAUAUGCAC
rnacentral:lncRNA from 1 species